AGACCCGAAACCCGGUGAUCUAGCCAUGGGCAGGUUGAAGGUUGGGUAACACUAACUGGAGGACCGAACCGACUAAUGUUGAAAAAUUAGCGGAUGACCUGUGGCUGGGGGUGAAAGGCCAAUCAAACCGGGAGAUAGCUGGUUCUCCCCGAAAGCUAUUUAGGUAGCGCCUCGUGAAUUCAUCUCCGGGGGUAGAGCACUGUUUCGGCUAGGGGGCCAUCCCGGCUUACCAACCCGAUGCAAACUGCGAAUACCGGAGAAUGUUAUCACGGGAGACACACGGCGGGUGCUAACGUCCGUCGUGAAGAGGGAAACAACCCAGACCGCCAGCUAAGGUCCCAAAGUCAUGGUUAAGUGGGAAACGAUGUGGGAAGGCCCAGACAGCCAGGAUGUUGGCUUAGAAGCAGCCAUCAUUUAAAGAAAGCGUAAUAGCUCACUGGUCGAGUCGGCCUGCGCGGAAGAUGUAACGGGGCUAAACCAUGCACCGAAGCUGCGGCAGCGACACUGUGUGUUGUUGGGUAGGGGAGCGUUCUGUAAGCCUGUGAAGGUGUGUCGUGAGGCAUGCUGGAGGUAUCAGAAGUGCGAAUGCUGACAUAAGUAACGAUAAAGCGGGUGAAAAGCCCGCUCGCCGGAAGACCAAGGGUUCCUGUCCAACGUUAAUCGGGGCAGGGUGAGUCGACCCCUAAGGCGAGGCCGAAAGGCGUAGUCGAUGGGAAACGGGUUAAUAUUCCCGUACUUGGUGUUACUGCGAAGGGGGGACGGAGAAGGCUAUGUUGGCCGGGCGACGGUUGUCCCGGUUUAAGCGUGUAGGUGUGUGUUCCAGGUAAAUCCGGUUCACUUUAACACUGAGGCGUGACGACGAGGCACUACGGUGCUGAAGCAACAAAUGCCCUGCUUCCAGGAAAAGCCUCUAAGCAUCAGGUAACAUCAAAUCGUACCCCAAACCGACACAGGUGGUCAGGUAGAGAAUACCAAGGCGCUUGAGAGAACUCGGGUGAAGGAACUAGGCAAAAUGGUGCCGUAACUUCGGGAGAAGGCACGCUGACACGUAGGUGAAGUGAUUUACUCAUGGAGCUGAAGUCAGUCGAAGAUACCAGCUGGCUGCAACUGUUUAUUAAAAACACAGCACUGUGCAAACACGAAAGUGGACGUAUACGGUGUGACGCCUGCCCGGUGCCGGAAGGUUAAUUGAUGGGGUCAGCGCAAGCGAAGCUCCUGAUCGAAGCCCCGGUAAACGGCGGCCGUAACUAUAACGGUCCUAAGGUAGCGAAAUUCCUUGUCGGGUAAGUUCCGACCUGCACGAAUGGCGUAAUGAUGGCCAGGCUGUCUCCACCCGAGACUCAGUGAAAUUGAACUCGCUGUGAAGAUGCAGUGUACCCGCGGCAAGACGGAAAGACCCCGUGAACCUUUACUAUAGCUUGACACUGAACAUUGAGCCUUGAUGUGUAGGAUAGGUGGGAGGCUUUGAAGCGUGGACGCCAGUCUGCGUGGAGCCGACCUUGAAAUACCACCCUUUAAUGUUUGAUGUUCUAACGUGGACCCGUGAUCCGGGUUGCGGACAGUGUCUGGUGGGUAGUUUGACUGGGGCGGUCUCCUCCUAAAGAGUAACGGAGGAGCACGAAGGUUGGCUAAUCCUGGUCGGACAUCAGGAGGUUAGUGCAAUGGCAUAAGCCAGCUUGACUGCGAGCGUGACGGCGCGAGCAGGUGCGAAAGCAGGUCAUAGUGAUCCGGUGGUUCUGAAUGGAAGGGCCAUCGCUCAACGGAUAAAAGGUACUCCGGGGAUAACAGGCUGAUACCGCCCAAGAGUUCAUAUCGACGGCGGUGUUUGGCACCUCGAUGUCGGCUCAUCACAUCCUGGGGCUGAAGUAGGUCCCAAGGGUAUGGCUGUUCGCCAUUUAAAGUGGUACGCGAGCUGGGUUUAGAACGUCGUGAGACAGUUCGGUCCCUAUCUGCCGUGGGCGCUGGAGAACUGAGGGGGGCUGCUCCUAGUACGAGAGGACCGGAGUGGACGCAUCACUGGUGUUCGGGUUGUCAUGCCAAUGGCACUGC
rnacentral:rRNA from 1 species